rnacentral:rRNA from 1 species
CCUGGUGGCUAUAGCAUUGGUCGUAAACCCGAUCCCAUUUCGAACUCGACCGUUAAAACCUUUAGCGCCUAUGAUACUACGCCUUAAGGCGUGGAAAAGUCGGUCGCUGCCAGGC